GAACGUCCUCACCUCCCUCGAUCCGCCCCGCGAACCGUCCCGCGAUCCGUCCCACGAUCUAGUGCCGAAUGGACGGCACCUCCGCGUUCAGCACACNNNNNNNNNNAAAAUUCCUACGCGCACGAAGACCUAUCAUGGUGAUGUCCAUCUACGAGAGGGGAUAUUCGAUCUACGUACCCUUGUAGAUCGCACAGCAGAAGCGUUAAGAAACGCGGUUGAUGUAGUGGAACGUCCUCACGUCCCUCGAUCCGCCCCGCGAACCGUACCGCGAUCCGUCCCACGAUCUAGUGCCGAACGGACGGCACCUCCGCGUUCACCACACGUACAGCUGGACGAUGAUCUCGGCCUUCUUGAUCCAGCAAGAGAGACGGAGAGGUAGAUGAGUUCUCCGGCAGCGUGACGGCGCUCCGGAGGUUGGUGAUGAUCUUAUCUCGGCAGGGCUCCGCCCGAGCUCCGCAGAAACGCGAUCUAGAGGUAAAACCGUGGAGAUAUGUGGUCGGGCUGCCGUGGCAAAGUUGUCUCAAAUCAGCCCUAAAACCUCCGUAUAUAUAGGGGGAAGAGGGGGAGCCUUGCCUUGGGGCUCAAGAGGCCCCAAGGGGGUCGGCCGAGCCAAGGGGGGGAGUCCUCCCCUUCCAAACCGAAUCCAACUAGGUUUGGAAGGAGGAGUCCUUCCCCUUUUUCCCACAUCCUCUUUUUUUCUUUUCUCUUUGAUUUUCUUCCUAUGGCGCAUAGGGCCUUCUUGGGCUGUCCCACCAGCCCACUAAGGGCUGGUGCGUCACCCCCAAGGCCUAUGGGCUUCCCCGGGGUGGGUUGCCCCCCCCCCCGGUGAACACCCGGAACCCAUUCGUCAUUCCUGGUACAUUCCCGGUAACUCCGAAAACCUUCCGGUAAUCAAAUGAGGUCAUCCUAUAUAUCAAUCUUCGUUUCCGAACCAUUCCGUAAACCCUCGUGAUGUCCGUGAUCUCAUCUGGGACUCCGAACAACAUUCGGUAACCAACCAUAUAACUCAAAUACGCAUAAAACAACGUCGAACCUUUAGUGUGCAUACCCUGCGGGUUCGAGAACUAUGUAGACAUGACCCGAGAGACUCCUCGNNNNNNNNNNAUCUGUGAUCUCAUUUGGGACUCCGAACAACAUUCGGUAACCAACCAUAUAACUUAAAUACGCAUGAAACAACGUCGAACCUUAAGUGUGCAGACCCUGCGGGUUCGAGAACUAUGUAGACAUGACCCGCGUGACUCCUCGGUCAAUAUCCAAUAGCGGGACCUGGAUGCCCAUAUUGGAUCCUACAUAUUCNNNNNNNNNNAUCCGUGAUCUCAUCCGGGACUCCGAACAACAUUCGGUAACCAACCAUAUAACUCAAAUACGCAUAAAACAACGUCGAACCUUAAGUGUGCAGACCCUGUGGGUUCGAGAACUAUGUAGACAUGACCCGAGUGACUCCUCGGUCAAUAUACAAUAGCGGGAACUGGAUGCCCACAUUGGAUCCUACAUAUUCUACGAAGAUCUUAUCGUUUGAACCUCAGUGCCAAGGAUUCAUAUAAUCCCGUAUNNNNNNNNNNACGAGGAUCUUAUCGUUUGAACCUCAGUGCCAAGGAUUCAUAUAAUCCCGUAUGUCAUUCCCUUUGUCCUUCGGUAUGUUACUUGCCCGAGAUUCGAUCGUCAGUAUCCACAUACCUAUUUCAAUCUCGUUUAUCGGCAAGUCUCUUUACUCGUUCCGUAAUACAAGAUCCCGCAACUUACACUAAGUUACAUUGCUUGCAAGGCUUGUGUGUGAUGUUGUAUUACCGAGUGGGCCCNNNNNNNNNNCGUAACUUACACUAAGUCACAUUGCUUGCCAGGUAUCUCGGGGCCCACUCGGUAAUACAACAUCGCACACAAGCACCUCUCCGUCACACGGAGUGACAAAUCCCAGUCUUGAUCCAUACUAANNNNNNNNNNUGCAACUUACACUAAGUCACUUUGCUUGCAAGGCUUGUGUGUGAUGUUGUAUUACCGAGUGGGCCCCGAGAUACCUCUCCGUCACACGGAGUGACAAAUCCCAGUCUUGAUCCAUACUAAAUCAACCAACACCUUCGAAGAUACCUGUAGAGCAUCUUUAUAGUCACCCAGUUACGUUGCGACGUUUGAUACACACAAAGUAUUCCUCCGGUGUUAGUGAGUUAUAUGAUCGCAUGGUCAUAGGAACAAAUACUUGACACGCAGAAAACAGUAGCAACAANNNNNNNNNNNNNNNNNNNNNNNNNNNNNNNNNNNNNNNNNNNNNNNNNNNNNNNNNNNNNNNNNNNNNNNNNNNNNNNNNNNNNNNNNNNNNNNNNNNNUGAUACAUGAAUUAUAAUAAUAACUAUAUUUAUUAUUGCCUCUAGGGAAUAAUUCCAACAUCUCCGCAGCCGCGCUAAACAAGCGUCACGCCGUAAAUUUACCCAUUUUAGUGCGCGCGCAAUCGGCAGAGUGUGUCCAGCGGACGCGCAAUAACCGCGCGCGCGGCAUAUAGAGUUGGGCGCGCUGUCCGAAUCGCCAUCGCGCGCUACGUAUUUGGGGCAUCUGCUUCCGCGCGUGGCACACACGAACACUCGCGUCGCACUCUCUCCCAUCGCGCCACCUUCACCCCACACGCGCCGACGCCGGCGAACUGACCCGACGGACGCGCGCAUCGGCUCCCCCCAUCCUACAGCCGCGAACCCUCCGUCGGCGUGAUAACCCACAAGUAUAGGGGAUCAAUCGUAGUCCUCUCGAUAAGUAAGAGUGUCGAACCCAACGAGGAGCAGAAGGAUCUCACAAGUGGUUUUCAGCAAGGAAAUACCUACAAGCAUUGAAAUUAUCGGUAACAAGUGAUUGUGUGUUGAGAUGAUUCGUAGCAAGCAACAAGUAACAAAAGUAGCAACGGUGUAGCAAAGUGGCCGAAUCCCUUUUGGAGCAAGGGACAAGCCUGGACAAAGUCUUAUAGGAGAAAAAACGCUCCUGAGGACACAUGGGAAUUUCUGUCAUGCUAGUUUCAUCAUGUUCAUAUGAUUCGCGUUCGUUACUUUGAUAGUUUGAUAUGUGGGUGGACCGACGCUUGGGUACUGCCCUUACUUGGACAAGCAUCCCACUUAUGAUUAACCCCUAUCGCAAGCAUCCGCAACUACGAAAGAAGAAUUAAGACAAAGUCUAACCAUAGCAUUAAACUAGUGGAUCCAAAUCAGCCCCUUACGAAGCAAUGCAUAAACUAGGGUUUAAGCUUCUGUCACUCUAGCAACCCAUCAUCUACUUACUACUUCCCAAUGCCUUCCUAUAUGCCCAAAUAAUGGUGAAGUGUUAUGUACUCGACGUUCACAUAAAACCACUAGAGGAAAAACAACAUACAACAUAUCAAAUUACCAAACGAAUACCAAAUUCACAUGACUACUAUUAGCAUGACUUAUCCCAUGUCCUCAGGAACAAAAGUAACUACUCACAAAGCAUAAUCAUAUUCAUGACCAUAGAGGUAAAUAGUAGCAUCAAGGAUCUGAACAUAAACUCUUCCACCAAAUAAUCUAACUAGCAUCAACUACAAAGAGUAAUUAACACUACUAGCAACUUUACAAGUACCAAUCGGAGUCGCGAGACGGAGAUUGGUUACAAGUGAUGAACUAGGGUUUGGAGAUGAGAUGGUGCUGAUGAAGAUGUUGAUGGUGACAAGUCCCCUUCGAUGAGAGGAGUGUUGGUGAUGACGAUGGCGACGAUUUCCCCCUCCGGGAGGGAAGUUUCCCCGGCAGGAUCGUCCUGCCGGAGCUCUAGAUUGGUUCUGCUCAAGUUCCGCCUCGUGGCGGCGGCGAAUGUACCAAAAAACUCCUGCCUGAUUUUUUCCUGGAUGAAACCCUUCCUAUAGCAAAAGAUGGGGGGGCAAGUGGGCCAGCAGGUUGCCCACAAGCCCUCAUGGCGCGGCCUGGGGGGUGGCCGCGCCGUGCAGGCUUGUGGCCAACCCCUUGCGCCCCUCUGGAACUUCUUCGGCCCAGUAUUUUUUAUAAAUCCGGAAAAAAAAUCCUCAUUGAUUUUUACGGCAUUUGGAGUUGUGCAGAAUAGGUAUCUCAACUUUGCUCCACUUUGAGGCCAGAAUUCCAGUUGCCGGUAUUCUCCCUCUUCAUGUAAACCUUGCAAAAUAAGAGAGAAAAGGCAUAAGUAUUGUACCGUGAAGUGAAAUAACAGCCCAAGAAGUGAUAAAUAUCAACAUGAUGCAAAAUGGACGUAUCAACUCCCCAAGCUUAGACCUUGCUUGUCCUCAAGCGAAAGCCUAGCUCAAUAAAUAUGUCCACAUGUUUAGGGAGAGAGGUAUCGACAAAACAAGAUACGAACAUGCAUGCAUCAUGAUCAUGGUCAGAACAACAAUACCAACAUAUAAUCUCUCAUGCUAAAGUGAUAAUUCCUUCACAAAGUAAAGCAUGGAUCAAGAACCUUACCGAGAAGUAACAACCGAUAGCCUUUAGUCAUUGAAUCAAUUGCAAUUUAUCACAACAUCACAAAGAGUCAAAUAAGAGCUUGUAAAGCAAAUGCACAUACUCAAUCAUUCUUUCGUUCUCUAUAAUUGCUACAACUCACGUGGUACCCAUGACAUCAAAGUUUCAGCUGGACAUAGAGAAAGAUAGGGGCUUAUAGUUUGCCUCCCAACUGCUUACCUCAAGGGUAAUGUCAACAAUAAUAAUUCAUGAAUGCCUACCUCCGAGUUGACAUAUGAAUAUAGAUCUUUCCCAAGCAUAUGACAUUAGCCAAGAUAAAGGCGAAAUAAGGAAUUGGUGAAGAUCACCAUGACUCUUUCAAGGGCAAAAAUUAAAGGUACAAGAUAGGACCUUCGCAGAGAGAAGCAGAGGUUGUCAUGCGCUUUUGAGGUUUGGAUGCGUGUCUCUUAGUGCGGAGGAACGUCACUUUAUAUUGCCUCGUGUGAUAAAGAACUUUAUUAUGCAGUCUGUCGAUUUUAUGUCUUCCUCAUCACAGGUUCGUAUAAAGAUUAUUUUCCACACACCAAUAGAUCAUACAUAUUAGAGAGCAGUUUUUAUUGCUUGCACCGAUGACAACUUACUUGAGGGAUCUUAUUCAAUCCAUAGGUAGGUAUGGUGGACAUUCGUGGCAAAAUUGGGUUGAAGGUUUAUGGAUGCACAAGUAGUAUCUCUACUUGGUGCGGGAGUUUUGGCUAAUAUGAGGUGGAAGCAAUCGUCACAUGCUAAGGGAUCUCUAAUCAUAUAACACUGUUCAGAGCCAAGCAAACAAAAUUCAUUAUGUUGUCUUCCUUGUCCAACAUCUACUUCUAGGCAUGCAAUAGUUUAGUGAGUGUCCACAAUCAUAGAUGGUGUCAGAGAUGAUAUAUUUAUAUGUGAACCUCUCCUUCUUUAUCACUUCCUAUUAAUUGCAACAAUGACCAACGUCUACGUUUGCCUACCCUCAACAAGUUUCAAUCCUCAUUCUUUUUAUAUGUGAAGCCAUCACUUCCCAUAAGAUCAUUACAUGAUCUUUCAUGCUUUUGUUCUAUUCUCACUAUUUUGAUCAUGGCAAGAGGCAAAGCCCUUUAACUAAGACACUCUUUAUUAUAUGGCUCACGAGCUCGAAUACAUUGGGGGUGACACAAAGCAAAACUCAAAACUAAAACACUAAGACUUUUAAACUACUAGAGAAAAAUAAAACUGAAAAGGAAAACUAGAACAAAGGUAAAGGAAAAAAGAUGUGAUGGUGAUACGAUACCGGGGCAACUCCCCCAAGCUUUGCACAAGCCAAGGGGAUUGCCCAUACCAAUGCUCAGUUGUCUUCCUUUGGUGGUGAAGGUGGAGGAGUUGUUGCAACAUGAGUUUGAUCCUCCGUCUUCCAAGGCAUAGGUGCUCCAUCAUAGAAAGAUGAACGAGUCCCCAGAAUCCUCAAAUCUGCAGCUAACUGUAUUGAUUUAAAUUUAUGCUCAUACUCACAGUUUUGGUUCUGCAGGUCAUAGAUCUGGGCCUGGAGUUGAUCAAUCCUAUCAUAGAACCUCGAGAGAUGCUUCCCAAUGUCAUUGGCAUCAAUCAUAUGCUUGUUGGUGAACUCCGUGAUCAUCAUGUGGUUGGCGUUGAGUCCACGCUCCACCAUCCCUUGGCACUUGAAGACUUGUUGCUCCAUUGCUUCGAGCCUCGUCUCCACGCUUCCGGUCUUCUUAGGCCCCUCAACAUCACGGAUGUGCAACAUCCCCUCACGCAUCUCGAUAGAUUAAGGCUGUUGCAGCACUCCCGUGAGGUAGGGAUUGAUGACCUUCUCGAAGAUCUUGUCCUUCGGAGCUUUUGGGGAAGUCAUAGCUAGAUCUGCAACAGAAACAGGCUCGGAACGAAAAACAGAGGAAAUCUGCGUGAUGCAGGGGUCAGACCAAACAUGAGUAUAUAUAAUGAUUUGUUUCACACCAGAAGGAGUACCCCGCACGAAAACGGAGUCCGGGAGGCGCACGAGGUGGCCACAAGCCCUCACGGCGCGGCCACGGGGUGGGCCCGCGCCGUGCAGGCUUGUCGUCUCCUCGCGCACUUUCCGGACUACUUCAAUUUUUUGUAUUUUUUCAAAUAUUCCAAAACGGAGAAAAUUUCCUACUAGAAAAGUUUUGGACACUGUUUUCUUACCGAAUCACAUACCUCUUUGUUUUCGGAGUCUGAAACAGGCUGAUAAAUAUCCCUUAGGUAUUCUUCCGGAGUUAUGGUAUUGAUAAUAUUGCUUUCAACAUUUAUGGGGGUACCUGAGAUAUAAUGCUUGAUCCUCUGCCCAUUUACCACUCUCGGACAAUUACCUUCCGUGUUGUUGAUCUUGAUAGCACCGGAACGAUAUACUUCCUCAACAACAUAGGGACCUUCCCAUUUAGAGAGAAGCUUGCGUGCAAAGAAUCUUAAACGAGAGUUAUAUAGCAAGACAUAAUCACCUACACUGAACUCAAGCUUUUGUAUUCUCUUAUCAUGCCACCUCUUAACCUUCUCUUUGAACAACUUGGCAUUCUCAUAUGCCUGAGUUCUCCAUUCAUCAAGCGAGCUAAUAUCAAAUAACCUCUUCUCACCGGCAAGUUUGAAAUCAAAGUUGAGCUCUUUGAUUGCNNNNNNNNNNNNNNNNNNNNNNNNNNNNNNNNNNNNNNNNNNNNNNNNNNNNNNNNNNNNNNNNNNNNNNNNNNNNNNNNNNNNNNNNNNNNNNNNNNNNCCUCCUCCGAUCUGGACCGCCACUCGGUAGUCAUCUAGCCAUGUUUCCGGCUUGGACUCUCCUGUAAACUUAUUGAUUCCCGUCGCCAAUCGGAAGUUGGGCGGGAUGUCAGCCAAGCGGAUGGCUCGACUAAAACACUCGGGACCAGACACGAUGGUCCUGCUUCCACUUGGACGGUCCAUAUCGUGACCAUCGCGGUGGGCUCGGCCCUUGUCGACCCUUCGCUGGGCGAUACGUCCUCUUGCGUCGGGCCUUGGGUCAUAAGUGUCGCCGACUGAACGCCGAUCAUCAUGAUGUCGGGACCCAUAGGGCCCACCCCGCGGAGGGGUGCAUGAACGACGGUGAUCUUCGUGUGUGAACGACGGCAAUCUUCGUGAUUCAUGGAACGGCUGCCUCCCCUAUGCCUCUAAUGGGAACCAGGGUUGUGAACCGACCGAUGCAUAUUCGCAUGAACAGAACUAUUAUGGAUCCUGUUGUGCGACUGGGAGACCGCCGAAUUCUUCUCCUGCGCCAUGUGCAACAGGGCUCGGAUCUGCUCGAUCCCUCUACCAGCCUCUGAAUGAGUCGGCUGGAGGGAAUCGGCUAUCUUGGCAGCCGCAGCCAAGUUAAGGAGGGGUGUGCGGAACAACUCUACGUCGCUCCGCCGAGUGUGCCGACUGGCAUAACGGCGAGGUGGACGGCGCGCGCCGGACGUUUCGCCGACCUCGCGCUCGCUCCGGCCAGCUUGACGGGGAUCUUCAUGGGAGUUGGCCAUGUGGACUUCUGCUGCGGGCCCGCGACCCGCAUACUCGGAAGGAAACUCAGUCGGAACCGAGUCCGAGUGCUGGGACAGCGGGGCAACCACAACGGACUCUAGAACCGCCACUUGUGAAGACGCUUUCUGGCGCGCCUGGGCGUGUUGCACCCAACGCUGGAGCUGCGGACGGCGAGACCGCUUGCUGCGGCACGUGACGGCGGUGCAGGUCGACACCGGAGCCGACUGUUGGAGAAGAAGAAUGCCGCGGGCGCCGACACGGAAGUGCGCAGCCCCACGACGGGGAAGCGCCUCGAUGUCGAGAGGAGCAUCCCGAAGUCACGCCGAAUCGUCGAUGAUGAAGGAGAGAGCGCCAAAGAAGAUCUGGUGACCCAUGCUCGAACCUCCACCGGACGACAUGACGAAAGGAAGUAGUCGCAAACUCGCCAGAAGUCGCUUAGACGCCUGCCCCAAGGUGGGCGCCAACUGUCGUGGGUAUAAGCCUGACAGUAGAUGUGUAGGGUACGAAAAGGAUGGGCAGAGCCUUAGCUACGGCGAGGUUGUAUGAGUUCAGGCCCCUCUGCGGUGGAGGUAAUAGCCCUACGUCUCACUGCUCAGGGAGCUUGUUGUCGAGUGGAAAUAUGGAAUACCAUGAGUUGCUAACCCCUGCACCAGAGGGGGAGGGUGGCUUAUAUAGACUGCGCUGUCCUCCACAAUGGUUCCGGUACAGGGGUGGAGUAGUGGCGAUUGAAUGCGUACGUUACCGGUAACGUACGUCCUAAAUGCUAAUAAAUGCACAGGGAAACGUACGACCGUUUCCCUCCAGGGGGGUUACGAUGUCCCGAGUGGCAUCCAGUCGGUUAGUUGGAUGUUCUCCGAAUGCUAGUCUCCGACUGGAUGGUCAAGGACCUGUUGCCGACUGGAUGAUGGGGACUCCUUAAUUCAGUCGGAACUGACUAAGGGUCUUGUCCCUUAUGAGGGUAGUCCUUGGGUAGGACUUAUAGGGCAGGCCUAUGACCCUACCCUAGGACUAUAACCCCAUCAUUAGUCCCCGAAUGGAUUGGGUCACUGAGGCGGAGUUACCCUAGAUACUUGGUAGAUAAGAAGGCUGGCAAAGUCGACACAAGUAUAUUUGAUAUACAUGAUAUUGAUGUGUACUUUACUCGUACUCGUAGUAGCACGAGGGUAUUGGAUACCGGUUCGGUUGCUAAGUGAUUAGUAACUCGAAAUGAAAGCUACGGUAUAAAUGGAGACUAGCUAAAGGUGAGGUGACGAUACGUGUUGGAAGUGUUUCCAAGGUUGAUGUGAUCAAACAUCGCACGCUCCCUCUAUCAUCGGGAUUGGUGGUAAAACCUAAAUAAUUGUUAUUCGGUGUUUGCGUUGAGCAUGAACAUGAUUGGAUCGUGUUUAUUGCAAUACGAUUAUUCAUUUAAAGAGAAUACUAGUUAUUUUAUUUUCUUGAAUAAUUACUCUCAAUGGUUUAUUGAAUCUCGAUCGUAGUGCUACACAUGUUCAUAAUAUUGGUGGCAAAAGAUACAAAGUAAUAAUGAUCGUACCACUUACUUGUGGCACUGCCGCUUGAGUCAUGUUGGUGUAGAACGCAUGAAAAAACUCCAUGCAGAUGGAUCGUUUGGACUCACUUGAUUUCGAAUCACUUGAGGCAUGCAAAUCAUACCACAUGGGCAAGAUGACUGAAGGCCUUGUUUUUAUUGAGAUGGAACAAGAAAGUAACUUGUUGGAAGUAAUACAUUUUUUAUGUGUGCAGUCCAAUGAGUGCUGAGGCACUCAGUGGAUAUCGUUAUGUUCUUACUUUACUGAUGAUUUGAGCAGAUACACGAGUAUUUACUUGAUGAAUCACAAGUCUGAAAUAUUGAAAAGUUCAAAGCUAUUUCAGAUUGAAGAUCGUCGUGACAAGAUGAUAAACUGUCUACGAUAUGAUCAUAGAGAUGAAUAUCUGAGUUGCGAGUUUUGGUACACAGUUAAGACAAUGUGGAAAUUGUUUUGCAAUUCCUGCCACCUAGAACACCAUAGUGUGAUGGUGUGUCCGAACAUCAUAGCCGCGCCCUAUUGGAUAUAGCGCAUACUAUGAUGUCUCUUAUCAAAUUACCACUAUCGUCUAUGGGUUAUGCAUUAGAGACAACCGCAUUCACUUUAAAUAGGGCACCGCGUAUUUCCGUUGAGAUGACACAAUAUAGACUAUGGUUUGGAGAAACCCAAGCUAUCGUUUCUUAAAUGUUUGGGGCUGCAAUGCUUAUGUGAAAAAGUUUCAGUUUGAUAAGCUCGAACCCAAAGCGGAUAAAUGCAUCUUCAUAGGAUAUCCAAAACAGUUGGGUGCAUCUCCUAUGUCAGAUCCGGAAGCGAAUUGUUUAUUUCAAGAAAUGGGUCCUUUCUCGAUGAAAGGUUUCUCGCGAAAGAAUUGAGUGGGAGGAUAGUGGAACUUGAUGAGGUUAGUGAACCGUCACUUCAACCAGUGUGUAGCAGAGCGCAGGAAGAUGUUCCUGUGGCACCUACACCAAUUGAAGUAGAAACUAAUUAUGGUGAUCAUUGAGCUUCAGAUCAAGUUACUACAAAUCUCGUAGGUCGACAAGGUCGCAUACUACUGCAGAGUGGUACGGUAACCCUGUCUUGGAGGUCAUGUUGUUGAACAACAAUGAACCUACGAGCUAUGGAGAAGCGAUGGUGGGCCCAGAUUCCGACAAAUGGCUGGAGGCCAUGAAAUCCGGGAAAGGAUCCAUGUAUGAAAACAAAGUGUAGACUUUGGGAGAACUACUUGAUGGUCGUAGGACUAUUAAGUAAAGAUGGAUCUUUGAAAGGAAGACAAACGAUGAUGGUGAAAAGUCACCAUUAAAAAAGGCUCGACUUGUCGCAAAGAUGUUUUCGACAAGAUCAAAGACUUGACUAUGAUGAGACUUUCUCACUCGUAGCGAUGCUAAAAGUCUGUUGGAAUUAUGUUAGUAAUUGCUGCAUUAUUUAUGAAAUAUUGCACAUAGGAUGUCAAAACAUUGUUUCCUCGACAAUUUCCUUGAGGAAAGGUUGUAUGUUAUCCAACCAGAAGGUUUUAUCGAUCCUAAGGAUACUAACAAGUAUGCAAGCUCCAACGAUCCUUUUAUGGACUGGUGCAAGCAUCUCGGAGUUGGAAUAUACGCUUUGAUGAGAUGAUAAAAGCUUUUGGGUUUGUGCAAGGUUUAUGAGAAACUUGUAUUUCCAAAGAAGUGAGUGGGAGCACUAUAGAAUUUCUGAUAAGUAUAUGCGGUUGACAUAUUGUUGAUCGGAAGUAAUGUAGAAUUUCUGUAAAGCAUAAAGGUUCUUUGGAAAGGGUUUUUCAAAGGAAGACCUGGAUAGAGCUACUUAAACAUUGAGCAUCAAGAUCUAUGGAGAUAGAUCAAGAAUGCUAAAUAGAACUUUCAAAUGAAAUGCAUGCCCUCACAAGUUUUUGAUGGAGUUCAAAAUAGAUCAGCAAAGAAGGAGUUUUUGGCUGUGUUGUAAGGUGUGAAUAUGAGUAAGACUCAAAAGCCCGACCAUGGCAGAAGAAAGAGAAAUGAUGAAGGUCGUCCCCUAUGCCUUCGCCAUAGACUCUACAGUAUGCCAUGCUGUGUACCGCACCUGAUGUGUGCCUUGCCACAAUUCUGUUAAGAGCUACAGAGAGUGAUCCGGGAUUGAAUCAUUGAACAUCGGUCAAAGUUAUCCUUAGUAACUAAUAGACUAAGGAAUUUUUCUCGAUUAUGGAGGUGGUUGAAGAGUUCGUCGUAAAGGGUUACGUUGAUGCAAGCUUUGACACUAAGCCGAAUAACUUUGAGUAGUAAAACGGAUUCGUAUAGUAGACUAGAUAUUUGGAGUAUUUCCGAAUAGCACGUAGUAGCAGCAUCUAUAAGAUGACAUAAAGAUUUGUAAAGCACACACGGAUUUGAAAGAUUCAGAACUGUUGACUAAAACCUCUCCCACGAGCAAGACAUGAUCAGACUCCAGAACUAUAUGGGUGUUGGAUUCGUUAAAAUCACAUGAUGAUGUGAACUAGAUUAUUGACUCUAGUGCAAGUGGGAGACUGUUGGAAAUAUGACCUAGAGGCAAUAAUAAAUUAGUUAUUAUUAUAUUUCCUUGUUCAUAAUAAUCGUUUAUUAUCCAUGCUAGAAUUGUAUUGAUUGGAAACUCAAAUACAUGUGUGGAUACAUAGACAACACACUGUCCCUAGUGAGCCUCUAGUUGACUAGUUCGUUGAUCAAAGAUAGUCACGGUUUCCUAGCCAUAGGCAAGUGUUGUCACUUGAUAACGGGAUCACAUCAUUAGGAGAAUCUGUUGGAAUUAUGACCUAGAGGCAAUAAUAAAUAUAGUUAUUAUUAUAAUUUAUGUAUCAAGAUAAUCGUUUAUUAUCCAUGCUAUAAUUGUAUUGAAUGAAGACUCAUUUACAUGUGUGGAUACAUAGACAACACACUGUCCCUAGUGAGCCUCUAGUUGACUAGUUCGUUGAUCAAAGAUAGUCACGGUUUCCUAGCCAUAGGCAAGUGUUGUCACUUGAUAACGGGAUCACAUCAUUAGGAGAAUCUGUUGGAAUUAUGACCUAGAGGCAAUAAUAAAUAUAGUUAUUAUUAUAAUUUAUGUAUCAAGAUAAUCGUUUAUUAUCCAUGCUAUAAUUGUAUUGAAUNNNNNNNNNNNNNNNNNNNNNNNNNNNNNNNNNNNNNNNNNNNNNNNNNNNNNNNNNNNNNNNNNNNNNNNNNNNNNNNNNNNNNNNNNNNNNNNNNNNNUAUGAGCAACAGAACCGGUAUCGAAUACCCAGGCACUACUACGAGAGACGGUUAAGUACACAUAAAUAACAUGUAUAUCAAAUAUACCUGAUUUUUCUUUGCCCGCCUUCUUAUCUGCCAGAUACUUGGGGCAAUUGCGCUUCCAGUGACCCAUACCCUUGCAAUAGAAACACUCCGUUUCAGGCUUAGGUCCAGCUUUGGGUUUCUUCGGCGGAUUGGCAACAGGCUUGCUGCUCUUGUUCGAAUUGCCCUUCUUGCCUUUGCCGUUUCUCUUGAAACUAGUGGUCUUAUUUACCAUCAACACCUGAUGCUCUUUACGGAGUUCAGACUCUGCGACUUUCAACAUCGCAAACAACUCGCCGGGAGACUUGUUCAUCCCUUGCAUGUUGUAGUUUAACACAAAGCCUUUAUAGCUUGGCGGCAGUGACUGAAGGAUUCUGUUAGUGAUAGCCUCUUGCGGGAGUUCAAUCCCCAGCUCAGCUAGACGGUUUGAGUACCCAGACAUUUUGAGCACAUGUUCACUGACAGACGAGUUUUCCUCCAUCUUGCAAGCAUAGAAUUUAUCGGAGGUCUCAUACCUCUCGAUCCGGGCGUUCUUCUGAAAGAUAAACUCCAACUCCUGGAACAUCUCAAAUGCUCCAUGACGCUCAAAGCGACGUUGAAGUCCCGGUUCUAAGCCAUACAAGACUGCACAUUGAACUAUUGAGUAGUCCUCCUUACGUGCUAACCAAGCGUUCUUAACAUCCUGAUCAGCCGUAGCGGGUGGUUCAUCUCCUAGCGCAGCAUUAAGGACAUAAUCCUUCUUCCCAGCUUGUAAGAUUAGCUUAAGAUUACGAGCCCAGUCUACAAAGUUGCUUCCAUCAUCUUUCAACUUAGCUUUCUCUAGGAAUGUAUUAAAAUUCAGGAUGACUGUCGCGUGAGCCAUGAUCUACAACACAAAUAUAUUCAAAGUGAUGUUCAAGAUAAUUAGAAGUUUAACUUAAUCAAAUUAUACGCUAAACUCCCACUCAAAAAGUACAUCUCUCUAGUCAUUUGAGUGGUUCAUGAUCCACNNNNNNNNNNNNNNNNNNNNNNNNNNNNNNNNNNNNNNNNNNNNNNNNNNNNNNNNNNNNNNNNNNNNNNNNNNNNNNNNNNNNNNNNNNNNNNNNNNNNACAACAUGCAAGGGAUGAACAAGUCUCCCGGCGAGUUGUUUGCGAUGCUGAAAGUCGCAGAGUCUGAACUCGUAAAGAGCAUCAAGUGUUGAUGGUGAAUAAGACCACUAGUUUCAAGAGAAAUGACAAAGGCAAGAAGGGUAAUUCAAAGAAGAGCGGCAAGCCUGUUGCCAAUCCGACGAAGAAACCCAAAGCUGGACCUAAGCCUGAAACAGAGUGUUACUAUUGCAAGGGUAUGGGUCACUGGAAGCGCAAUUGCCCCAAGUAUCUGGCACAUAAGAAGGCGGCCAAAGAAAAAUCAGGUAUAUUUGAUAUACAUGUUAUUGAUGUGUACUUAACCGUCUCUCGUAGUAGUGCCUCGGUAUUCGAUACCGGUUCUGUUGCUCAUAUUUGCAACUCGAAACAGGAACUGUGGAAUAGACGAAGGCUGGCGAAAGAUGAAGUGACGAUGAGCGUAGGAAAUGGUUCCAAGGUUAAUGCAAUCGCCGUCGGCACAGUUUCACUUCAGUUACCAUCAGGAUUAGUUAUGAACUUAAAUCAUUGUUAUUUAGUGCCUGCGUUGAGCAUGAACAUUAUAUCUGGAUCUUGUUUAUUGCGAGACGGUUACUCUUUUAAGUCAGAGAAUAAUGGUUGUUCUAUUUCUAUGAGUAACAUCUUAUAUGGUCAUGCACCCAAUGUGAGAGGAUUGUUCAUAUUGAAUCUUGAUAGCGAUACACACAUACAUAACAUUGAGACCAAAAGAGUUAGAGUUAACAAUGAUAGCGCCAUUUUUUUGUGGCACUGCCGCUUAGGUCAUAUUGGUGUAAAGCGCAUGAAGAAACUCCAUGCUGAUGGACUUUUGCAGUCACUUGACUUUGAUUCACUUGACACAUGCGAACCAUGCCUCAUGGGCAAGAUGACUAAGACUCCGUUCUCCGGAACAAUGGAGCGUGCAAGUGACUUGUUGUAAAUCAUACAUACCGAUGUGUGUGGUCCGAUGAGCGUAGAGGCACGCGGCGGAUAUCGUUAUUUUCUCACCUUCACUGACGAUUUGAGUAGAUAUGGUUAUGUCUACUUAAUGAAGCACAAGUCUGAAACAUUUGAAAAGUUCAAACAAUUUCAGAGUGAAGUUGAAAAUCAUCGUAACAAGAAGAUCAAGUUCCUACGGUCUGAUCGUGGGGGUGAAUAUCUGAGUUUCGAGUUUGGUGCUCACUUAAGACAAUGUGGAAUUGUUUCACAGUUGACACCGCCUGGAACACCACAGCGUAAUGGUUUGUCCGAACGUCGUAAUCGUACUUUAUUAGAGAUGGUGCGAUCUAUGAUGUCUCUUACUGAUUUUCCGUUAUCAUUUUGGGGUUAUGCAUUAGAAACAGUUGCAUUCACUUUAAAUAGGGCACCAUCAAAAUCCGUUGAGACGACACCAUACGAACUGUGGUAUGGCAAAAGGCCAAAGUUGUCGUUUCUUAAAGUUUGGGGAUGUGAUGCUUAUGUCAAAAAGCUUCAGCCUGAAAAGCUCGAACCCAAAGCGGAAAAGUGCGUCUUCAUAGGUUACCCAAAAGAGACAGUUGGGUACACCUUCUAUCUCAAAUCCGAGGGCAAAGUGUUUGUUGCUAAAAACGAAGCUUUUCUCGACAAGGAGUUUCUCUCGAGAGAAUUGAGUGGGAGGAAGAUAGAACUUGACGAGGUUGUCGAACCUCUCAUCCCUCUGGAUGGUGGCGCAGGGCAAGGGGAAACCUCCGUCGUUGCGACGCCGGUUGAGGAGGAAGUUAAUGAUGAUGAUCAUGAAACUCCGGUUCAAGUUUCUGUCGAACCACGCACGUCGACGAGACCACGUGCUGCUCCACAGUGGUACGGUAAUCCCGUCUUAUCAAUCAUGUUGUUGGACAACAAUGAACCUGCAAAUUAUGAAGAAGCAAUGGUGGACCCAGAUUCCAACAAAUGGCUAGAAGCCAUGAAGUCCGAGAUAGGAUCCAUGUAUGAGAACAAAGUGUGGACUUUGGANNNNNNNNNNNNNNNNNNNNNNNNNNNNNNNNNNNNNNNNNNNNNNNNNNNNNNNNNNNNNNNNNNNNNNNNNNNNNNNNNNNNNNNNNNNNNNNNNNNNNNNNCGUUUAUAAAGCUCGACUUGUGGCAAAGGGUUUUUCACAAGUUCCAGGAGUUGACUACGACGAGACUUUCUCACCCAUAGCGAUGCUUAAGUCCGUCAGAAUCAUGUUAGCAAUAGCUGCAUUUUUCGAUUAUGAAAUCUGGCAGAUGGAUGUCAAAACGGCGUUCCUUAACGGUUUUCUUAAGCAAGAAUUGUAUAUGAUGCAACCCGAAGGUUUUGUCGAUCCUAAGAAUGCUAACAAGGUGUGCAAGCUCCAGCGAUCCAUUUAUGGACUGGUGCAAGCAUCUCGGAGUUGGAACAAACGCUUUGAUGAGGUGAUCAAAGCAUUUGGGCUUAUACAAGUGGUUGGAGAAUCUUGUAUUUACAAGAAAGUGAGUGGGAACUCUGUGGCGUUUCUAAUAUUAUAUGUGGAUGACAUAUUACUGAUUGGAAACAACGUAGAGUUUUUGGAGAGCAUAAAGGAUUACUUGAAUAAAAGUUUCUCUAUGAAGGACCUAGGAGAAGCUGCUUACAUUCUAGGCAUUAAGAUCUACAGGGAUAGAUCAAAACGCCGAUAGGACUUUCACAAAGCACAUACCUUGAUAAAGUUUUGAAAAGGUUCAAAAUGGAACAGUCCAAGAAGGGGUUCUUGCUAGUUUUACAAGGUACGAGAUUGAGUAAGACUCAGUGCCCAGCAACUGAUGAGGAUAGAGAGCAUAUGCGCACCGUCCCCUAUGCUUCAGCCAUAGGUUCUAUCAUGUAUGCAAUGCUGNNNNNNNNNNNNNNNNNNNNNNNNNNNNNNNNNNNNNNNNNNNNNNNNNNNNNNNNNNNAGCCAUAAGUAUGGCAGGUAGGUUCCAGAGUAAUCCAGGAGUGGAUCACUGGACGACGGUCAAGAAUAUCCUGAAAUACCUGAAAAGGACUAAGGAGAUGUUUCUCGUGUAUGGAGGUGACGAAGAGCUCGCCGUAAAGGGUUACGUCGAUGCAAGCUUUGACACAGAUNNNNNNNNNNNNNNNNNNNNNNNNNNNNNNNNNNNNNNNNNNNNNNNNNNNNNNNNNNNNNNNNNNNNNNNNNNNNNNNNNNNNNNNNNNNNNNNNNNNNAAGAAGGACUGCACCCACCAAACCAAGUAGGACUCGGUUUGGGGGGGUCCUUCCCCCCUUUGGCUCGGCCGACCCCCUUGGGGCUCCUUGAGCCCCAAGGCAAGGUCCCCUCUCUCCCACCUGUAUAUACGGAGGUUUCAGGGCUGAUUUGAGACGACUUUUCCUCGGCAGCCCGACCACAUACCUCCACGGUUUUUCCUCUAGAUCGCGUUUCUGCGGAGCUCGGGCGGAGCCCUGCUGAGACAAGAUCAUCACCAACCUCCGGAGCGCCGUCACGCUGCCGGAGAACUCUUCUACCUCUCUGUCUCUCUUGCUGGAUCAAGAAGGCCGAGAUCAUCGUCGAGCUGUACAUGUGCUGAACGCGGAGGUGCCGUCCGUUCGGCACUAGAUCGUGGGACUAAUCGCGGGAUUGUUCGCGGGGCGGAUCGAGGGACGUGAGGACGUUCCACUACAUCAACCGCGUUCACUAACGCUUCUGCUGUACGGUCUACAAGGGUACAUAGAUCACUCAUCCCCUCUCGUAGAUGGACAUCACCAUGAUAGGUCUUCGUGCGCGUAGGAAAAUUUUUGUUUCCCAUGCGACGUUCCCCAACAGGAGAUACUCUAAAUGAGGGCUGGCUAGCACUAAAUUUCCCAUCACCACGUCAGAGUGAAUUUCAUUUUUUAUCCCGUAGUCAUACAUUUGUGACACAUAUUACUUCAUUUAUUUUAAGUUCUAUCAAAAUAUAAGAUUUCAGAGACCUUAAGCACAGGUUUGCCGCACCUUUGCAUUUUGCUUGUUUAUGUUUAAUAGGAUUGGCAUGUUGCGUCAAGGAUUCAUAAAAAAUGUGUAAAGAACGGAGGGUAUUAUUGCCGGACAUGUCCAGACUUUUCUUGUCCAUCUGUUUCAUUCCUCCUCGUCGUUCAUAUGUUUUUAAACCCUAGACGUCACCCCACAACUUGCCAAAUGGACACGCAUCAGAAAAUGAGGGCCCAAAGCUUCUAAAAGGAGUGUUCUAGACUAAUGUUUACUCGAUGGGGUAAUUAGUGUCAUAAAUGCAUAUCGAGGGAGUAAAAUGUGAAAUUCACUCCAUAAAACACGACAAUAUUCGGAUAGAAAUAAAUUGUGACAUAAAUUCCAUGCUCGUCAACCAUGCUCGUCAAGUAAACUUGCCAUCUUGGAAGAACAUAAUUUGCCAUGGUCAAAAUCCGAUGUCAGAUUUGUAGUGAAUUCCAAAAUGUAAAGGUACCACUUAUACCAGUUGAUAAAAUGCAACAAGAGUAGACAAGAAAUACAUUAUAAAAUUAGUUAUGUUUAUAUGUUAUCUUUAACGGUUAGUUUUGUGUGCUCCUAAACUAUAUUGUGACUACUACUCGUGAAAAAAAAACUAUAUGAUGACUACAUUAACAAACUACUUCCCGUUCUUAAAUAUAAGUCUUUUUAGAUAUUUUACUAAAGACUGCAUACAGAUAUAUAUAAACAUAAUUUAGAGCAUCUCUAACAGACCCCUAUAAUGCCCCGAUCUGUAAAAUAACCGCCAAAUUACGGGUCUGCGCGGAAAAUGCUAUCCGAUUAGACCCCGUAAAUGCGUCCGACUCAUAAACUUUUUUGAGGCGAUACAUUCUCACAUUUCACCAGCAGAGUUUGGUGAUGACCCUUGCCGUGAAGGAGCACGAAGACGUGAACCGAAAGAGGCGGCGAGGAUCGAUCGUCGGCUGUCUUUGCUUUCCUCGAAAUCGCCAUCUCGGGAACGAGAUGGUGAUGCAAGACUACUUCGCGACCAAUCCAACAUAUCCGACGCACCUCUUCCGGAGAAGGUAUCGUAUGCGUAGAUCCCUCUUUUUAAAAAUUCUUCAAGCUUGCGAGACCAAUUAUCGAUAUUUUACUGAAAGGAGAAAUUCCGCGGGCUUGAAAGAAUUUAGUGCAUAUCAAAAAAUCUCGGCAGCUAUGCGGAUAAUUGCAUACGACUUUCCGGCUAACUAUGUCGAUGAGUACCUUCGCAUUGUGAAAGAUAGUACAAUUGAGCAUGUGGUGAGUUUCUCGGAUCGAUUAGUACAAUUGAGUAUGUGGUGAGUUUCUCGGAUCGAUUGGAGUACGCUUAGUCGAGGCACGCUCUUCUAAACUCUCUUAUUUUUUGAUACAUACGCAGGACGAACACGUUUAGUCAUCGCGUGACAAGCGCGAUAAGAGGGUGUUUGGAUACGUUUUAGUCCCAUGACUAAAAGUAGUGGGACUAAAACUUGCUAGCCUCAUCCAUGCUUGGAUCCAAAUACUAAAGAGACUAAAAUCAAGUUAAUGAGCAUUUAUUACUUUCCGAACCGUCCAAUCCAGAACUCGCAUGUGUUAAAUGAAAGGAGUUAAAUGAGGAGAAAGAGGAGUAAUCCAUAUUUUAGUAGGGGUACCCCUGACUAAAAGAUUUUAGCCUCAAGACUAGUUUUAGCCUUUCUUUAGUCAGGGGUGCUUGGAACUUUAGCCACUUAAAAAGACUAUUUUUAGUCAGACUAGUUUUAGUCCCUUGAUCCAAGCACCCUCUAAGCAACACAAACCAAUAAGGAUGGGCCCAUUUAAGUCGUGUCUACCCCAUUCAUAGUUAGCUAUAAAAGAGUACUACUUUUAUCCUAUAUGGCCCACCUUUCAUUCUCACAAAGCACCUCUUCUCUCUCCUCUUCUCUUUCAUCCAACUCAGUAAAAAUAUAGUAUUUUAAUCCUUACAGCCUGCUGACUGUACCUUAUUGUACUUGCUCUAAGAUUCGUUUCAUACCGUGGCAUUUGGAGGAGCAAUUAAUCGACCACCUACCAUCGGAAAGUCUCCCGUGGAAGAGACAAUAUUACUAGACUGCCUUCUAGAACGGGUCAAUAUUUGAGUUAGAGCCAUUUUUGGCUUGGAACUCAAACUUGUCUCUAGUGCCCAGUGUCAAGACGUAGCAUUCUCUCAUUUUCGUCCUUGCAGCUUCCGCUGGUGAGCACUAUUUCUUCGUCCUGCCGGCCAACGAGCCUUCGCCCUAGCUGCAAGUCUCACCACAUUCGACCUAACGCUUGGUUGGUGUAUGUAUAGUGGUAUACACUCCACUUGGCCGAGAAAACUCAAAACUCAAAAGGACUGUUGGGGGCCUUUCUUGUAAUCUCGUGGUUAGAGGAGAAAACAAUUAGGGGGGCUGCAAGCUUUCAACUGUCAAAACUUGGUUGGUAUAUUAUGUAGCUGCAGUCGUUGGCCAAGUAAGUUCCAACUUCUUCCGUUUAGGGGGGAAACACUUGGACGAUUCAAAUGAGAUAGAUAGUGCACCGAAAGCAAAACUCAAUUUCGAAUCAUCACGAAAAUCAUUGGGUAUAUACACAUAUUCAAAUCAAUACAGGCCAGGCGCACAACCGCUGCCGUCAGGAGAGCCGCCGUACCACUCUCCCCCUCCUCCGCCGCCAUUGGAGGAGGCCAUCGGCCUAAGCCGAAGCGGCUGGCGGCGGUGGCGGAGAAGCCCCUUCCUCUCGCGGUGCAGGCUUGAAGCGGGGCUCCAUGGCCAAGAGGGAGUGCUCGCCGACGGAUUUGGGUCGCAGACGGUGCGUAGGUUGGCUCCUUAGCGACGGCGGCAUGACGAUGGCGACGAUGCAGUAGCGUCGUGGAGGAUGUGAUCUGUUGCACAUAAGGUGGGUGUGGACAUGUUGGUCCACGACCAGAUCCAACCAGAGUUGGCUUUGGUGGUCGGCGUGUGGCACGAGGUGUCGUGUUGGGGUCCACUACGACACGUGCAACUUCGAAGGGUGUUGCUUCUACGUUGUACUCCUUCUUAUCAUCUACGACUAGAUCUGGGACUCCCGGGUAGAACAAUGGUGGCAACUCGAUGCCAUCCCUCCUGUGGGCAUUGUUUUGGAGAAGAUGUUGUCUAGAGGAGUCAAGAGGUGGAGCAGUGUUACAUCUUUAUCAUCUACGACAACGGGUCUCGACAGCACGGCGGCGUGGGGCCUUGACGCUGGAUGCGAGUUGAUAGACACAUGCAAGCUGGUGGCGUUGUCUGGCGUCAUGGUGAAGCCGACGACGGUUAGGCCUUACAAGGUCAAUGCAUUGAUCACUCCAGAAGAUGGAACGGUGGAAGAUGACGGUGGCGGAUCGAGAGCAUGCAAAGCGGUGCACAUUGCGUGUCGACCGGAUUGGGUUGUGCUCUCAGCCCGAUGCGGCGCAACUCUUUGAGGUCACCGGAUUAGAUAGUGCACGCUCAGGUGGUUCAAACACAUUGUCAAGAUUGUAGGUGUUGCGACUUUGUGUGUCAGAUAGAUGGUUUCAGGUUGAUCCAUGUAUUUAUGCUGUCAAACUCUAUUAAAUAACAAUAAAUAUGGUUGCAUGCAUCGAUUGAUGCAGAGGCCGGAGGCCAUCCUUCUUUUCAAAAAAGAAAUGGAGAAAGAAGGAGCAUAUAUAAAGUUGUUUCCCUUUGCUAAAGUCAUUGUUGCUUGACCAAAUGGGCAAUGCGCUUGAAGCUAAGCAUCUAGAACACGAGAAUGUCCUGGAAGAUCAAGUAGCAUUUGGUGAGAACGACCCUCCAUGGUCCUCGUCCAAUAAUUGCCACUCCAGCAAACCGAUCACAUUCCAUGCUCUUGCAUGCCGUGCCACCCCAGCAUCAGAUGAUCAACACCUACCUGCUGUCCAUGGUUGGUCUUGGUCCUCGUGAACACUUAGUGUGCACACCUGGUCCCGUCAAACUUGGCCAGCGACAAUGGACAUCUGUUUUCACGAGGCGUUCAACAAACAAGAAUUGUUUCUUUUAUUUACUGCUCCCUUCAUUCAGCAUCAGUAUAAUAAUAUAUCCAAAUAUACUUAAAUUAUUGAUUGAUGGAUUCGCCGGCAAUAUACAACUAAUGCAGACCACUUUGUCGUCGUGAUCUCGUAAUGCAGCCCACCAUUGCUUUCACCCCCUUGUUAAUCGAAACGGAAGUCCACGUAAUUGUUAAACGAGACGUUCAAGUCUUCUAGAAAAGCUGAUUUCUUCCCUGGUACGACGGAGUACGAUGCCACGACUUCUCCCCCCUGUGAACGGGCUACGGUGACGUUUGUGCGGCUUUUACUUUCUUGCAGAGUUGGAGAUAUGAUGUGGCCGGUUUUACUUUCUUGCAGACUUGGUGGUACUAUGAUGAGUUGAUGAUGCACCGUACGAAAUGAUAUGAUCGAUCGAUAAGCGCAUGGACGAUAAUAUAACCUUAUGAGAAAAGCCUGUCGCGAGGAAAACCCUAUGAGAAUGAGAUGUGCAUGUCGCUGGACACUUCCUGAAGAACCUGUUUCCGGUUUGGACGCUGAGCCUGUCGACGUCGAUCAACCCGCUAGCUAGGUAGUAGCCGCUGGUGGCUGGCGCCGGAGAUCGACGGCUAAAAAGGUAGCGUUCGUUCAUUAGCGGCCGGUGGAUACUCUGCUAAUCAAUGGGUUCAGCAAGUGCAACUUGAGAAUCUUUCUCCGUCCAACGCUAAUGUUGUCCACUGGUCGUCCAUUACGAAAGGGCUCACCACUCACCAGCAAACACACUGUGGAGUUGGCAGGCUUAAUGCGGCAGCCAUCCAUCCAUCUGAUGGUAAGGUGAUACUGUGAUGCAUGAUGUGAUUGAUUGAUCGACCGAUGCAGGUCUUUAUUUAAUUAUACCGCACAACUGAUGGAUAUAGGUGCCCCCGCCUCGCAUCCUACCUGGCGACUCGGGGAAACCCUAGCACCGUCCCCGCCGCGUUUUUCCCCUCUCUCCCUCUCCUCCGUCGCUGCCAGAGGGAGCCACGGCACUGGCUUGUAGCCUUGAUGAAGAUGGCGGCAGGGACCCUGCGUCUGGACGGCGGCGGUUCCCGGGGCGGCGGGAAUCUUGCGCCUGACGGCGGCGGUUCCCGGAGCAGCGGUUCCCGGAGCGGCAGCUUCGUUCCAGGGACGGCGGCUACCGGUGGCAGCGGGGAUCUCAGGCCUGGACGACGGCCCACGGGACGGUGGUGACUUCGGCCGGCGGCUCCUGGUGGCGCCUGGGUUCCAGAGCCUGGACGGCGGCGCCCGGGGCGGCGGCGGCUUCAGCUCUCGGGGCCGAGCCGCCUGGUAAUCCAGCCUCAUCCACCGCGCCAGCCUGGUUCCGGGUGCCUUUUCCUGGUGCUUGGUGGCCGGAUCUAAUCCGGUCUUGGCGGUGCCGACGGCGACGGCUUACCUGGGACCAUGGUGGUGGCGGCGUCCCCUCCGCCGGGGAUGACGGGUCUGAUGGUGGGGAGACAUGGUUGCCGGUGAAAACCGUGCCGGCGGCGAACGAUGGCGGCUUUCUAAGCCGUUUCCUUGAUGAAUGCUUCGUUCUGUAACUACUGUUGAUCCACUCGUCCUACUCCGGAAACCCUAGGAUCUGGUUUUCCAGAUCGGACGAUGGCGGCAUUGCGGUGUCGUUCCUCUCUAGGGAGCAUCGUUUGUGGAGCAGUGCUGGAAGACGGUGGCAGGAGGUGGAGCGUCUUCGUCCUGCACGGAGCUUCAGUGGUGAUGUCAUGUUAUGCCUGGCCGACAGGUGCUACGCUUUGUCAUGCCUGGUCGGCAGGUGCUACGCACGACAGAUCUUACCGAGCCUUCGCGUUUGGAUGGACGAGCGCGGGGAGGUGGUGCCGUUGGGCGUCAUGGUGGCGUCGACGGAUGGCUGGACUGACAAGGAUUAUGCGGAUCUCUUUCCUGAAGAUGGUUCAACGGUUCGAGGAUGAUGGCGGCUUCUAAAACAUGUGCAUGUGGUGUCCGCUUUAGGUCUGGUGCACCGGCUGUGAGUUCCGAUACGUUAUGUGGAUGGAUCGAAGACGACACCGGAUUUAGAUAUAGGGAGUGAGAGCACUCCACAUUAUCACGGUAUGUAGGUGUGAGAGGGGGCUUCGGAUGGUUUGAUGUAUGUACUUGUCAGACCUUUGUUGAAUAAGUAAUAAAGAUGGUUGCAUGCAUCACUCGAUGCAGAGGCCGGCGCUCGGCCUCCUUUUCUAAAAAAAAAACCUCUCUCCGGCCGGAAUGUGCAAGCGGUUGCAGAUAUCAUAUCACUUGGAGUUGAGUUCGUCGUUUCCCCCUCUCGAGCCUUCUUGGUUUCCACAUUGGCGCGAGAGAGAUUUCUUGUUUUUGUUUUCCCAAACGGCUUUGCCACGGGAGUUGAGGAAGGGCAAUUCGGCGCGAGAGAGGUUUUUGUUUUUCCAAACCGCUUGGUCACUUGGAUGUCAAGGUAAGAUGAUGAUGCGCUGGUGAUUGACUGGACGACAGCGAUGCGUGGUUGGUUGAUGCUGUGACAGCCUCCCGCCCCGUGGACACAGCUCCGGGAUCACUUUCCAGGUACAGUACUACUUCUGCUUCCGAGGACAGGUAAAGCUUUUUCAGCUUGCUGCUGCAGCAUGUGUUCGUGUUCCUCCCUCGAUGCUUACCCUGUCCACGCUGUGUUUGCGAAAUGGUAAGCUGUGGUAGCACGUUGACAGCUACAGUAAAAAAGCAUUGCAUGUCUCCACGAUACGCUUUUGAAUAUGUGAUUCACCAAGCAUGAUAAUGCCGUUUGUUAAUCCCCUCGCCAAAGGGGUUGAAAGAGAUUGGAGAGGUCUAAGGGGGAUUUUCAUUUACAAGAAAUUUAAUCCCUGCAGGUCCGAAGAAACUCAAUCCCUCCCUGUCAGCAGAACAAGCCCUUAUGCAGAGGACUUCGGGAGCUACUAUACACUCCAUUCGUACAUAAAUAUAAGUUUUUUAUAGAUUAUACUACGGACUACAUACGAAUGUGUAUAUAUAUAUAUAUNNNNNNNNNNNNNNNNNNNNNNNNNNNNNNNNNNNNNNNNNNNNNNNNNNNNNNNNUUAUAUAUUCUUUAAUUAAACGCCAGAAAUGAUUUGUAUUUACAUUCUGUUGUUGGACUUCGGUAGUUCGUAAUGGUUCCUGGGAUUUCAUGUUAUUUUGGUGUUUGCACUUUGGGCUGUAAAACUGAUAAGUUGUGGCUUCAUUAUCAAUGAAAUGGAGCAGGGGGGAACCCCUUUUAUUCAAAAAACAAACAAACAAAGGGAGUAGACUGCUUAAUCUUUAUUGUUGAUCAGUAAUAUGGACUGUUUAAUCAUGUAUAGACUACUGAGUGAAAUACACACUGCUUUGAUUUUCUUUUUCCUUUUUUUAAGUGCAUACACACUGCUUCGUUUUGACAUUUUUGUAUGGGUAUUUAACAAAGUCUUNNNNNNNNNNNNNNNNNNNNNNNNNNNNNNNNNNNNNNNNNNNNNNGAAAGAUAGUUCGACAAAGUUUUUUUUUUUACGGGUGACAAAGUUGUUUCCAGCAGAAGUUGGAAGUGUAUGUGCAGGCCCGUGACCAGUCCAGGCCAACCCAGUAUAUUGAUCAUCUGUUCAAAAAUAUUAAUACUGCACUUGAAAAAUGUUAAUCAAGAAUUCAAAAAUAUAUUAACUAUAUAUAGAAAAAAUGUUGACCAGGUAUUCAGUAAAUAUUGAACUUGUAUUUGAAAGAUGUUAAACGUGUUUUGGACAUAUACAAAAAAUGUACAAUGUGUAUGAAAAAAAUAAGAAUCCAAAAAAUGUGAAUCAUGUAUUUCAAAAAUGUUAAAUGUAUGUAUAGAAAAAAAUAUGAUGUAAUACUUAUGUUGAAUCUGUACUGAAAAACAAUGAACACAUGUUGAACAAGAAAAUACUCCCUCCGUCCCAAAAUAAAUGUAGUUGUUCUAGUAUAAAAUUUAUACUAAUUUAAUGUUAAAUUUAUGGCACUUAUUUUAAGACGGAGGGUGUAUAAAACAAAAAGAGAAACGAAGAAAACCAUUGGAAAAAAUAAAAGAAUACAAAGCCGUAAAAACCAGUGCAAAACUGCAAAUGAAUGAAACCAAAAGAACCAGGAAAAAACAGGGAAAUAGAUAAAACCCAAGGAAAGGUGAGGACAAAAGAAAAAAAACAAGAAUGGAACAAAAAAGACACAAAACCAGUGAAAACCGAGAAGAAACAAAGAAAACCAUUGGGAAAGCAAAGAAAACAGGAAACCAAAUAAAAUUGUGAAUGAAACGAAAGAAAGUUGAAAAAACAAAGAAAAACAAAACAAAAAAUUGUAAUUUAAAGAAAAAACACCAACCCAGCUAACGAAGACCGAACGCAAUUGAAAUUAAGUGAACGGAAGAAAACACCAAAUAUGGCACCGAGACGUAAGGAAGACUCGCUCAGACCGUGAUAUAGUCCCCGGGCUUUUUUAAAGCGAUAUUCUUUUUGCUUACUUUAGGUUUUACGGUUUUGUCAAGUUUUUCACACAGCUUUUCUCUAAGACGACCAUAUAUAUAGUAAAAACAAUAAUGAAUGGUAAAAAUGUACAUGAAUUAUUAUUCUCAAUAAUUCAAUAAUGCUUGAUAUUAAAAAUAUUCAUGAAAACAGUAUUUGCGAAUUUCAUAAAAUAUUCAUGUAAUCUUUUUAAAAGUUGUGACAAAAACAAUGGUCAUGCUAUUUUAUAAGUUUCUGAAAAUGUUCACCGUUUUCUUCUAUAAACCAUGGAUCCUAAAAAUUAUAUUAAAAAAUCUGAAAAGUAUAUAGGAAUUCGAAAUAACAAAAAGAAAAAAAUGCGAAAAAAUACUGGAUAACGAAAGCCCUAGAAAAACGUAAACCCAAAAAAACGAGUGAAGAAAAAAAACCUAAGAGUACGCUUAUGGAAAACCGGUAAAUGGAUCUGGCUCAUGGCUCGUCGCUCUAUGCAUCAUUUCAACUUUUUGAUGCACAUAGCGUCAAAUGAGAUUUUCCUUAGGGACCCGAUGCAAGAUUCUAUUCCUAAACCUUUGUUUCCUUAGGGAAACCAUGUAUUUUAGCCUUCAAAUAUUGUUUCGAAACAUGAGGAUGAUUUUUGGACUAAUAUGAACCCGGAGGAACAAGACUUGGGUUUGGAGGGCCCAAGCGCUGAAGCCCUUGGGACGCUUGGGCAUUAUAAAAGGCUUCUGGUGGUUUUCUUUUGUUGCCUGAUUCUACCCAAAGUUUUUGAACCACCUUAUUUUUGCAGUUUUUUGGAGUUGUGAAUUUGCGGGAAUUAAUAAAACUUACGAGACACAUAUUCCACAUUCAGAAGCAACUCUCCGAAGAGUCAUAUACAAUCAAGGGGGGGAGGGGGGGUUCCUCACCAAUAUUGCCCACCAAAUACUUGGUAAUACUCCCCCCCCCACCACCACCACCAAUGCGGGCAGGCCAAGGAAAAAGGAGAAGGAGGGGGCCCUCUUCCCCUCUCUUAUUGUGACGCUGGAAUGCCGCUAAGGAACCAUCAUCGCCUCCAACGACUUCUCCACCAUCACUACCUUGGACCAUUGGGUUCACUAUCUUAGAAUCUGUGUAAUCUCCUAGCAAGGCACGAUAUUUGAUACAAUAAAUUACCCCCGUAUGAUUUGUUGUAUCAUUUUAAUGUGUGAGUAGUUUUAUUUUGUCUUGCAACAUUGAUGUUCUGGUAUAAUAUGUAAGGAUUGUAUGUUCUGAUAUAAUGAUGCCCUCUUGUGCUAGUAUAGAGAUGCACCCUUAAAGCAGCAAGAGGAAGAUUACUUCGACACCCCAAAGAUCUAGAUGUAUUAUUCAAUUCGUGUUUCUAUAAGGGUGCGUGUCAUUUGGUCUUGCUAGAAGGAAUAGCGAUAACAAAAAGACGAAAAGCAGUAGUCUGACAGGCGAGCAAACAAACGGAAGAGGCGUGGUUGACUAAAGUAAAAAAAAUGCGGUACUAUUAGGUAUUGGCACCACUUGAGCCAAUCAGGUUGUGCCAGCUCACGUCGUAUGUUAUCAUGCGUGCUGUAUGAAAAUGAUCUAUCACAUUUAUCUAAUAUUUGUAUUUCAGUAUGAUGGCCCACCAUCAUCCUUCACAUGCAGACAUAACAAGAUGUGACAUACCCCCUCUCUCCACUCUCCCACACAAUAAAAUCAACCUUUUUAUCUUGUCUAAUUUAAAACAUCAUAUCUUUUAAAUAAUAUAUUUGUUUUUGUCACUUUUUUAUAUUUGAGCUCCUUGCACCAAAAUCUUUAAAAUGAAACCAAUCUCGGAUAUUUUUCAACCACAUUUAAAUUCAAACCUACAUUUCACAUUUUCAUAUAAUAAGUUUCACAAUUGUACAUUACAAUUUUACUUUCUAUAGUUAUUAUUUCACAAUUCUAAAAUAUGUUAUUGCCUUGUUUCACAAAAAUCAUACCUAUUUCAAUUGCACAUUUGUGAAAUGACACUUUAACACUUUUAAAAUUAACUGUUUCACACUUUUAAAUAAAUCAGUUUCACAAUCAUACACUAUAAUUUCACUUUCUAUAUUUAUUAUUUGACAAUUUUGAAGUAUGUUACUGGCUUGUUUGAACAAAAUCACAUCUAUUUUAAUUGCCCAUUAUGAAAUGGCAACUAUAACACUUUUGAAAUGGACCGUUUCACAUUUUUUUUAAACAAUUCCACAAUCAUAUAUUAUGAUUUCACUUUUUGUAGUUAUUAUUUGACAAUUCUGAAAUAUGUUACCAGCUUGUUUCACACAAUUACAUAUAUUUCAAAUUAGCUAACUGAAUAAUCAGUUUCACAAUCAUACAUUACAAUUUCACUUUUGAAAAUGACAUAUUUCACAUUCUGUGGUUACUAUUUCACAAUUCAAAACAUACAUUUUACUUUUACUAUUUCAGUUGCACAUUUGUCAAAUUAUAUUUUCAAUCUCUUGAAGUAAACCGUCACACAUUUCAAAAUAAUCAGUUUCGCAAAAUUGACAUUUCAGUUUCAUUUUUGGGUUAAAUAGGUUUCUAUUGAAAUAGGUUGGUUUAACACAUUUCUAUUGAAACAUUUUUUUUGCAAAAAUUUGUAGUAAAAUAGGUUUGUUUAACAUAUGGAAUGUGAGAAUUUAAAAUUUAAAUGUGUUUGAAAUGAAUCCAAGAUUGGUAUUGUUUAAAAGGCCUUUGCACCGGGACCUCAAAUAAAGAAAACAAAUAGAACUUAGGCUGCUCAUAGUGGAGAGUAACAUAUAGUAGUAUCAUGCAUAUGUUACUAUUGUAUGAUACUACCUUCAUAGUGCAUAGUAACAAAAACUAGUAUCGUAGAUGAUCUCAUUUAUUGACAUGCAUGACACAUAGUAGAAUUGCAUUUAACAUGUUACGGUAUCUAUCUAUGUUACUUUAAUCAUCUCUCUUUUCUUUAAUUACUUGCCACAUCACCACGUUUGCUAGUCCCAAGACUAUAUUACUAGCUAUGAUACCCCACUAUGGCCAGCCUUAUGGUUUAAAAGAUAUGGAGCAUUUAAUUUAGUAUAGGUGGAAUAAAAGUUUGAAUUUAAGUGGAGAGAGAGAGAGAGAGUAGUCCCUCAUUUUCUGUGCAUGCCAAGGACAAAAAUGAUGGGCAUCAUUAGCUGUAUUGGAUGAUGUAUAUCUUGUGUAUAGCAAGAAAUUAAGAAUUAAAUGAUUCACAGUAACUUGACACACACAACGAAGACGGAUUUUAUAUCCACAGGUAGCGUUAACGUUCAAACUGACUUUCUGCAUGGUUGACGGUUUGGUGGUUACGCCACGGCCCACGGCCAAGUAUAAGAUUUUAUAGAAAUUUUAUUAUUAGCAAUAUACGAAGCGAAAUAAGUAAAACUACGCUUUAAAAUAUGUUUAUAUAUUUCUGCAUAUAGCUUAUAGUAAAAAAAUUAAAAGUCUUAUAUUUCCAAACAGAGGGAGUACAACCCAACUUUGAAGCACGCAUCUCAUCCAAUGCGUGAGCAACCUACUUACUAGCCGCGUCACUGACUGUCCAGUGACAGGUCAACUGAUCGAUGUAGCAACAGUAGCUACGAAGCAGGUACUCCUCAUCACACGCUCGGCAGCGUCGGUUCUUCCAUCACCUGCUCGCUAGGAGUAGCUAGAUAGCUCUCACGUACCUCGCGUCUCCCCGGAAUUCCUCCCGUAUAUAAUGGCGCUGCCACCAUGCUUCGCCACAUCACUUCAACCAAGUCACAGCCAGCUAGCAUUGCAUCAUGGCCCGCGCCCUCGCCGUCGCCGCCGUGACGGCGCUCAGCCUCCUCGUCUUCCUCCACUCCUGCCCGUGCGCCCACGCGCGGCCGCUGCCCGCGAGACCGGAGAGCUCGGGAACGUCCGCGCUUGCAGUGCCACCGUCGGCGUCCGAGGGCGCGGCGCACUGGCGUGCCGCCGACGCGGCCGCCAGGGCGGGGAAGUGGCUGCCGUACUACCGGUACGCGGGCGGUGGCGGCGGCCUGCACUACCACCCAGGGUACCCCAAGUACCCGGGGUACCCGGCUGAGGGAAAGCCGAUGAUGUGGGGGUCGGGCUCGCCACCGGAGCUGGGCGCCUACGGCGCGAGCGGCCGGCAGCUUGGGAAGUCGGCGUACGGCGAGGAGACCCGGCAGGAGCAGGUCGCCAUGUGGGCCUCGCUGCUCAACCCGUCCAAGGGGCCAACCACGCCCACCAGCUGGAUGCCGGCGAAUGGCGGCGACGAGCCGGCGGAUCAGGCCCGCGACGAGCCUAAGGCGUUGGCCGGCGCUGCCGAAGGGGCGGAGAUGGACGUGCCCCCCGGCGGCGGCGGCGUUCAGCUGACCGCCCAGCAGCCCAAGUGGAGGUUCUACCCCGAGAACAAGAAUGGCAAGUGAAGAUGGCGUACGUGCCCGCAGAAUUACUGCACUAGCACAAGACUGGAAUGCUGGAUUACAGUUCUUUGCUGUUGAAAUAGAUGUGCCUCGACGGCUAUACACAGUCAAGCUUUACACGUCUUUGACUGUAAUCUGUUUUUCGUGGAAGUAAUAUUCAAAUUUUGACAUGGAAACAACAAUUGUUACAUGACCAAAGUUACUUCUAAAAGUUAUAUGUUAUCUGUAAGACUGUAACACGCAGUUAUAGAAAGAAUGUACUCCCUCCGUUUCUAAAUAUAAG
rnacentral:lncRNA from 1 species